GUCAGACAACACUAGCCACUUGUCGCAGCCACAGGUAGCACCCACCUCCAUCAACAUGUACAAGCUGCUCCUUGUCGUGCUGGCCGUGCUCGCCGCCGCCUCCGCCCAGUACGUCAGCCCCUACUACGGCUACGGCGGAGCGUACCGCAGCGGCUACUACGGCGGGUACGCCGCUCCCUUGGGCUACGGCAGGUCCCUGGGAUACGGCUACGGCGGAUACCUGUACGGCUGAAAGGUGCUGUUCCUAAUCAAUUGACUGAGAGAGAUAUUUCUUAUCCUCAUGCUGAUUCAAUGUGUGAAUAAUGAAAUAAAUAUUUUGGUCAAUACAAAAAGUUUUACUUUUCUACUACCAUAUUACAAUUGAUAGAUAUAUUUAAUUAAUUUACAUAACUAGGGGAAUAUAUUUUAAUUGCAAUAAUUUUUUUAUUAACUUUUUCAACAUUACACAUAUGUAAUAUAAAUUCAUCACAUCAUAAAAAUAUAGCCAUAAAAAGUAAUUUUUGGUACUUUUAUAAAUAUCGUGGCCUUUAACGUCUGGUGCAGAUGAUUAAUUUACAUUUCAUACAGUAGGGAUCUUGAGGAGAGAGAAUAAUGUAAAAAUUAGAACAAUAUUUAACAGAAUGGUCAUGGACCAUUAUUUCAUCGAGGCAUUAUAUUUUAUUUGUAUAAAGUGAUAGUUAAAUCUUUUUUGUAUAUUUAAUUGUUAAAAGUGAUAGUUUAAGGGGUUUUUGAAUAUCGAUAUAAAAUAUAAGAAAUCAUACCAGGACAUUGAGCCAGAAAGAAUUAACUGUCCAUUACAUAAUUUAAACUUUACAUAAACUUUGUAAUACUUAAUAAGCUGAGUGCUGAUAAGUUACAAACAAAAGUUACACAUAAAGUUUUUUUUAAUAUGAUAUUUUCCAUGGUUUUGAUGAAAUAUUGUCACGCAAGGGUAAAAUCUGUAGGGGAAUAAUUUAAGUUCAAUAAAUUCAGUAGAUAGGAUUC